GACGAACGCUGGCGGCGUGCUUAACACAUGCAAGUCGAACGGAAAGGCCCAGCUUGCUGGGUACUCGAGUGGCGAACGGGUGAGUAACACGUGGGUGAUCUGCCCUGAACUUCGGGAUAAGCCUGGGAAACUGGGUCUAAUACCGGAUAUGACCAUUGGUUGCAUGACUUUUGGUGGAAAGCUUUUGCGGUUCAGGAUGGGCCCGCGGCCUAUCAGCUUGUUGGUGAGGUAACGGCUCACCAAGGCGACGACGGGUAGCCGACCUGAGAGGGUGAUCGGCCACACUGGGACUGAGACACGGCCCAGACUCCUACGGGAGGCAGCAGUGGGGAAUAUUGCACAAUGGGCGCAAGCCUGAUGCAGCGACGCCGCGUGGGGGAUGACGGCCUUCGGGUUGUAAACCUCUUUCGGCAGGGACGAAGCGCAAGUGACGGUACCUGCAGAAGAAGCACCGGCCAACUACGUGCCAGCAGCCGCUGUAAUAC
rnacentral:rRNA from 1 species